rnacentral:rRNA from 1 species
UUCGGAAUUACUGGGCGUAAAGAGCUCGUAGGCGGUCUGUUGCGUCCGCUGUGAAAACUCGGGGCUUAACCCCGAGCCUGCAGUGGAUACGGGCAGACUAGAGGUAGGUAGGGGAGAAUGGAAUUCCCGGUGUAGCGGUGAAAUGCGCAGAUAUCGGGAGGAACACCGGUGGCGAAGGCGGUUCUCUGGGCCUUACCUGACGCUGAGGAGCGAAAGCGUGGGGAGCGAACAGG